AUUGAACGCUGGCGGCAGGCCUAACACAUGCAAGUCGAGCGGAGCGGCGGACGGGUGAGUAAUGCCUAGGAAUCUUCCUGGUUGUGGGGGAUAACGUCCGGAAACGGGCGCUAAUACCGCAUAAUAUCCGAAUACCCUAGGUCGGAUUAUCGAGUUGGGUGGGUAAAGGCCUACCAAGGCGACGAUCCGUAACUGGUCUGAGAGGAUGAUCAGUCACACUGGAACUAGGAAACGGACCGAACUCCUACGGGAGGCAGCGGUGGGAAAUAUUGGACAAUGGGCGAAAGCCUAAUCCGACCAUGCCGCGAUUGUGAGGAAGGUCUUCGGAUUGUAAAGCACGUUAGGUUGGGAGGCGUUACCAACAGAAUAAGCACCGGCUAACUUCGUGCCAGCAGCCGCGGUAAUUC
rnacentral:rRNA from 1 species